rnacentral:rRNA from 1 species
UACGUAGGUGGCAAGCGUUGUCCGGAAUUAUUGGGCGUAAAGCGCGCGCAGGCGGCCUUUUAAGUCUGAUGUGAAAUCUUGCGGCUCAACCCUGGGACGGCCUUCGAUACUGGGAGCCUGGAGAUCGGGAGAGGUGAGUGGAAUUCCGAGUGUAGAGGUGAAAUUCGUAGAUAUUCGGAGGAACACCAGAAGCGAAGGCGGCUCACUGGCCCGAGACUGACGCUGAGGCGCGAAAGCGUGGGGAGCAAACAGG